CCAAACUUGGUCAUUUAGAGGAAGUAAAAGUCGUAACAAGGUCUCCGUUGGUGAACCAGCGGAGGGAUCAUUAUAGAGUUACUGAAACUCCCAAACCCUUUGUGAACUUACUAUAUUGUUGCCUCGGUAGUGCCGGUAGUCAUUUGAUUAAAUACUACCACUAACGGCCUGCCGAAGGUCCCCAUUUAAAACUCUUGUUUCUUAAUUUGAAAUUCUGAAUUUAUAAACUAAAUAAGUUAAAACUUUCAACAACGGAUCUCUUGGUUCUGGCAUCGAUGAAGAACGCAGC
rnacentral:misc_RNA from 1 species